rnacentral:tRNA from 1 species
GCUAGUGUAGCUUAACCAAAGCAUAACACUGAAGAUGUUAAGAUGAACCUUAAAAAGUUCCACACGCA